GCAGAGAGUAAUUGUGGGGCCAUGGACUGCCAAAGCAGUCUGGGCCCCCCAGGACCGCCGAGCCCAUGACAACAGUCAUGGUUGUCACCCCCUAAUGGCGGCCCUGUUGACAGUGGUGCCAUUAAUAAGCUGACAGAUUCAGGUCUUUUUGCGAAUGGAGAGCAACUGAGAGGUGGACCACGUUUAUCUGAAGUUUUCAGAAGCGUCCCUGUCUGAAAGCCUCCUAAUUCAAG